GGAAAUGUCCUCCAUCGAACUCAGCCCAAAUUACUACCAGGCCACAGGAUGGUGAAGGCAUUAGGACACAGUGGAUGGGGGAAGGGAUUCCAUGCACUGUGUAGAUGGUCUUGGGUUUGUUGUGAGAACAACCAACACUAUUCUGGGCCCCUGUCAAUCCUACACAUCAACACCAACCGCAGGUUGAUCAGAUCCCAUUCCUCCAAACAGCCAAGGCAUCCAUCUUCUUGAAGCUGCAAAGAAACAUGGCUUUCCAUCCAGGAGAGAGGGCCUGUGGAGCGUCCUCCACAGCCCUGAGGACGGUGCUAGAUCCAACAAGCUGCCUCAAAUCCAGGCCGAUCUGGAACCAUUCACCGAGGGAGGCAACGAUCCUGCACUCUGAAGACAACGCAAGUCUACCCCCAAACAAGCUGUAGGAAUUUGGAAAGACUGAGUCUUGUCAACCUUCCUGAGAAC